GUGCUCAUUUCAACAGCACAUACACUAUAAUUAGGAACAAUGCAGAGAAGAUUAGCAUGGCCCCUAUGCAAGGAUGUGCAAAUUCAUGAAGCAUUACAUUUUUUU
ensembl:snRNA U6 U6 spliceosomal RNA